rnacentral:misc_RNA from 1 species
AACUUUCAACAAUGGAUCACUUGGCUCUCGCAUCGAUGAAGAACGCAGCGAAAUGCGAAACGUAAUGUGAAUUGCAGAAUUCAGUGAAUCAUCGAAUCUUUGAACGCACCUUGCGCCCUUUGGUAUUCCGAGGGGCACACCCGUUUGAGUGUCGUGACAUUCUCAAAACCUUCUCGGUUUCUCGACCGGGAAGGCUUUGGACUUUGGAGGCUUUUGCUGGCAUUCCUUUGUUGGAGCCAGCUCCUCUGAAAUGAAUUAGUGGGGUCUGCUUUGCCGAUCCUUGACGUGAUAAGAUGUUUUCUACGUCUUGGGUUUUAGCACUCCUGCUUCUAACCGUCUCACAGUAGACAAAUGGUCCACUCGACCCACAAACCUUGACCUCAAAUCGGGUGAGACUACCCGCUGAACUUAAGCAUAUCAAUAAGCGGAGGCU